UGCAGGAGGAAUGAAAACUUGUCACCAUUUUCCUGAGCCUGACUGUGACAACCCAUAUCCUGGGUCAGACAGUGGAGGAGGGUUUGUAGGAAAUAUUGCAGCUCACAGGUCUGUUCCCUUUACAGGCACUUCUUGGAGAUCAAGAGCUGGCCCAGAAGCAUGCACCCCUUGUUGCCAUGCAACAGCCAGACAGAACCUCAGGUACCAGACACAGCUCAUCCAUCAUUUCAUGGUUUUUCAAUAUCCUUUCAAACGUGGCUACCAGAGCUGCACAUAGACUUCCAGUCUGCCUCAGCCAUGCUGUAAAAUAACUUUCUUACUCCUCCUUAUGAGUCCCACUCACAUAUACUUAAAACAUGCUGUUAGCUUUUUAUCCUACCACACCUCAUCAGUUCAUGUCUUAGUUUCAGAUUAUGUCAGUGCUGUUCUGUCUCUAUUCAUCAUAAUGCAACAAGGUCUCCUCAUGUGAACUUAACAGCAUAUUGGUCCUAACACACUGGACUUAAGUCUCUGCUAAGAUAAAGAAGACUCUCAGAGCAGGGAAAGUGUCAUGGCUGUGAAAAGAUACCCACUGAUCCAAAUUUCUUUUCUAUUUCUAAGUAAGAAUUUCCUAUGGGAAGCUGUGAAUCCAGCUCCUCAUGGAUUCAGUGUGUUGUCAUAUCUGUGAAGCAGUGCUAGGAAUAUGUUUUCGGGCUUUUUCCUAACAGAUAUGAUAAAGACUAGGUUUUAACAUCUUGAUCUAAUUUCCCCUUUUAUCAGUAAUAUGGGUGGCUAGUACUGGAAAGAACUAGUUCUUUGUGUUGUUAUAAACUGUAUAAAGAUGUUCAGAGCAUGUGAUAAAUGAGAGUUACGCUUGUCUGUGUGUGAGAGAACAUGUCUGUUCUUGGGUCUCAAAACGCUGCCUGUUUUUAGACUGCAUUGAUAGUACAUGAGUAUUUUCAGUUCUUCGAUGCAGAACAUUUCCUUUGAUAUUCUAUAGUGAGUGCUUAUUUAUGCAGUAAAAUGCAUAACAAUAUACAAUAUCAAUCUGUAAAAGUGUAUGUAGGGCUGCUGCUAUAAUCUUCAGUUGCAUGGAUGUCUUUUGUCUAGCUCUGUGCAAAAAUGUGAAGCCUGUGCCAAGCAGAAGGUUUUUGAAAGGGUCACUUAGUCAUAGCCCAUUGGAUGAAACAACCAGCAAGUUCAAGAAGAAAUCAAACCACAAGAGCACUCUAAUUGCAUGGCAGUAGAAUUCAACUCUUCUAGUUCUGCUUGCAUUAUCUUAUAAACACUUUUACUUUAUCUCAAGCUAUAGAAGAAGUCCAUUAGAAGCAUAACCUGAAAGGGACAUGAAGAGGUCAUCUUUCAUUUCCCUGCCUUAAGGCUAUGUGGGCUGAAAAACUUCACACAGUGUAUUGUUUUAAAAGUUGUCUGAGCAUGCAUGACUGCUAGGGGAAGAGUUAAGAUUAUGUACUAUAAGUUUCCCACUUUCAGAUGUCAAAAUACAUAACUUGAGUGGGGUCACAUAGUCGUAUAAGUAAGAGAAAGAAACUGAGCAGAGGCAGUUUUGGAAAUAAAUUGGAACUGGAAAACAAUGUGAUAAAUGCUUGUGAGUCAAUACUUGUCAACAUGUUAUUUGUGCAUAUUGUUAUUUCAUGAUUCAGCUAGCCAUGAAUAAAACUCCAUCUAAAGCUAGUGGUUAUUCUCCUGUGCUUCCCAUAAUCAAAGACUGCUGCAAUUAAGUUAGUGCAGAGUUAGUAAUGUAUGCUGGCUGGUUUAGUUCUCACUUCUGUUCAGAUCUGCACCAGUAGAGUCUAGGGAAUACAAACAAUAGUUGAGUCAGAGUACCUGUAAUUAUCACUGCAGUUUACUGAACUGGCCUUGCCAGAGAAAAAAUGAAGCAAAAGUUCUCUUGUUAAUUAAUAUGCUCAAAUGUUCAUGUAACUUGUGUAUAUAGUAUGGAGAUAGACCAGAUAAAGUAAAGGCAGAACCUAAGAGAUGCACUAAGGGUGGUAAAUGAUGGAUGGAGUACUCUCAUCAGUUUGGGCAUUGCAUUUUGCAUGUGCUAAUCUGUGGAAUGCCAGUGUCUUAAGAAAAAUUGUUAAAAUGUUCGAAAAAGCUUAAUUAAUGAUGGCAAUUAAAAAGGAAUUGUUUGUUCAUUAAGGUUUGCAAGUGAAGGUUCUGCUCUACUAUGCAUGGCUGUUCUGCAGGACAUUUUGCAAGGUACUGUGUUGACAAACUGUGAAAUCAAGUUGAUGAUAAUCCUGGGGAUAUUUGGAAAUGCCAAAGAUUCAAAGGAUCUUCAAGUAUCAGAAAAAAAUGGACUGAUGCAACUUACUUAUAUUUUCAUUUGCAUUUCUUAUAAUCCCAGUGUGUUCAGUAAUUUAAUUUCUUGGGCCAUAGGAUGAUGGAUUGGGCUCUGGAUGAGGCAAGUGCUGGUGGUUUGGCUGGAUCCAAAAAGAAAGAAGAGGAAAAGCAUCUUUUUCAUCCUUUAAGCCAAAGCCAAUUGCAACCACUGAUUUCAUCAGGAAAUUACUGGUAAUGUCAGGAGGAACUCUUGGGACCUUCCUUCCCAAAACCACCUUUGCAUUAGAAGCAAAUAAUGUGUAUGAUGGGGAUAUUUUUUCAUCAAUGUGUAAUUUCAUU